CCGACUCGGUACUAAAGAGCUCUCCAUGGCUUACUUCAAAAGAAAAGCAUAUCUAACUAUCGCAUGUAUCGGUUGAGCUGCCCGGUACUAAAAUGCUUUGCAUUUACCGAACUAUAGUGAUACCGGUUCCCCGACCGGUACUAGAAGUCGAUCGUCCAGCGGUGAAAUCUGUAACUUCAGUAAGCGAAGCAGCGAUCCAUAACAUCUUGCUAUCCCCCCCUGGAAUCAUCUGUCUUGAAAACGUAGCUCAGGUUACUCCACAUGAGGUCUGUCCCGUUUAGAUUUCUUCGACCUUCUUGCCGUUUGUGCUAGAGACAUACCAGUAGAGAUCCUGACCAAUACCACACGGUCGCGUCCAGCCCACUCCAUCAUCCCUUCUGUUCCAACGCUCAGUUAUCUUUCUGUCAUGGAGAUUGUACGCGACAACUCCCUUGUAGCGCCCGUAGACGGUGUUCGAGCGUAUCGACGGGAACACGCCGGUGGAAAAGGGCAGUGCUCGUACCUUGCCGACG
rnacentral:lncRNA from 1 species